rnacentral:rRNA from 1 species
AUGCCCUUAGGCACGAACAUGCAUAACAUAGAAAUCACACGUGGAAGGGGUGGGCAAUUAGCUAGAGCAGCAGGUGUUGUAGAGAAAAUCAUUGCAAAAGAGGGUAAAUCGGCCACUUUAAGGCCUCAUUUGGUUACCAGGGAUCCCCCCGGAAUCCCCGUCAAAAUCCAGGGCUCAUGGCCCACACGGCAAAUCAGUCAGUGA